rfam:Gossypium hirsutum cultivar TM-1 chromosome 8, whole genome shotgun sequence
AAUAUAAGAACGACAAAUCAGAUUUUUCCUCCUAAUUUUAGUCUUUCCUUGUUGAAAAAAAUUCAAAUCCAACUAAAAAUGCUAAAAAUCAGGAGAAAAAAAUCUGAUUUUUCAUUCUCCUAUU